rnacentral:rRNA from 1 species
CCUACGGGAGGCAGCAGUGGGGAAUAUUGGACAAUGGGCGCAAGCCUGACCCAGCAACGCCGCGUGAAGGAAGAAGGCUCUCGGGUUGUAAACUUCUUUUAUCAGGGACGAAGCAAGUGACGGUACCUGAUGAAUAAGCCACGGCUAACUACGUGCCAGCAGCCGAGGUAAUACGUAGGUGGCAAGCGUUAUCCGGAUUGACUGGGUGGAAAGGGCGUGUAGGCGGGAAAGCAAGUCAGAUGUGAAAACCAUGGGCUCAACCUGUGACCUGCAUUUGAAACUGUUUUUCUUGAGUACUGGAGAGGCAGAUGGAAUUCCAGGUGUAGCGGUGAAAUGCGUAGAGAUUAGGAGGAAUACCAGUGGCGAAGGCGGUCUGCUGGACAGCAACUGACGCUGAGGUGCGAAAGCGUGGGGAGCAAACAGGAUUAGAUACCCUUGUAGUC